GCUUUGACCAUCAGGCAGCUCUAAGUCUGUCUAAAGUCAGAUGGAUGGAGGGGGCUGUGGGAGUUUGGGCUUACUCAGUAAUUAGGGCAGGUCAUCUUCCUGGGAUGAUUUCCAAAAGGAAGUAGAUGAAGUCCUCAAGGACAUAAUCUCAUGAAAUCCCAAAAGGCUCUGGUAGAAUUAUGAAUGGGAAGAUGACAAGUGCAAAUGACGCUCUUAUCAAAAACAAAAUGAAGGCAUAGCAAUGGAUGCAGAGUGAAUUACAGGCACAGGAAACAGCAGGAGACAUUCAGCAAAGAUUCUUUCUCUGCAGACAAGGUCAAAAACUUUCCAUCUUGCUCCUAUGGAAGCAGCAGCGUGUCCUAACUCCCCCAGAAAACCUGCAGUUCUAUUUCACCUUCACCCAAGCUGGGAACCUUUUUGAGUAACUUCUCAAAAGUCUCUGCCUCUUCAAAAAAAAAGGGUUUGAUAUCUCUGUCUCUGAAAGAAAGAUUGCACCAUACCCUCCAGUGCCUACACACCAGAAACACUGUUCUCUAGACCUUCAUUUAUUCUUGCAUGCAAGAAAAGAAGAGUUAACCAUCCCAACUCCAGCAUUCUGGGAAGCUGCAAGCAAAGAAAUGUAUUUCUACUCAACAAGAUGCUUCCUAAUAAUGAUCACUAUGCCUGAUUCCUUUAGCCCAAGUAAUAGUAAUAAUAAUAAUCUCUGACAUUUCUGUGCUUUUCUAUUUUUCAAGGAUCUAUCAAAGAUAGAUAGAUAGAUAGAUAGAUAGAUAGAUAGAUAGAUAGAUAGAUAGAUAGAUAGAUAUCAUUCUCAGGGGUCUACACCUCUGAAAUAAACAUGUCUUUAAGGGAAGAAGGAAAAACUCU
rnacentral:lncRNA from 1 species